UUAAACGGCCGCGGUACCCUAACCGUGCGAAGGUAGCGUAAUCACUUGUCUACUAAAUAUGGACUAGUAUGAAUGGCACCACGAGGGUUUAACUGUCUCCCAACUUCAAUCAGUUAAACUGAUCUCCCCGUGAAGAAGCGGGGAUUUUAUUAUAAGACGAGAAGACCCCAUGAAGCUUUAAACUAAGAGUCAACUGCUAAACAAUACGCCCUAAGAAUACAGCAACUGUGACCUCAAAGUUUUCGGUUGGGGCGACCACGGAGUACAACAAAACCUCCACGAUGAAUGAAUAUUAAAUUCUUACCCAAGAGUCACACCACAAAGGAUCAUAAUUAUGACAUCUCUUGACCCAAACCACUUGAUCAACGAACCUAGUUACCCUGGGGAUAACAGCGCAAUCUAUUUCGAGAGCCCCUAUCGACAAAUGGGUUUACGACCUCGA
rnacentral:rRNA from 1 species